rnacentral:sRNA from 1 species
UUAUUCCAUUAAAUAAUCUUUGGCUAAUAAAAUAAUAAUGUAUAAAAAACUGUUUUCCUGGAUAAAAAAAAUUAAUAAAUAUAAUUUUAAAAUAUAUUAUCGACCCAAUACCGACAAAAUUAUCCAAAUUGCUAAUAACCUGUUAAAAUUGCAACCGCCAUUUAAUAAACCAUUACCGGAAAACAGGGAAACACUGUUUUGGAACAAUGCAAUUUGGGGUUCCCCAACUGGUAUUUUAAAAUACCUUAUAUCGGGGACGGUGGAAAAUAAUAAAACCAAUUAAUUUAGAAAAAUAAUUAAUUUUAUAAACCGGGGAAAAGCAAUAUUAUAAAAAUUUACGAAAAACAAAACAAAAAAUAUUCGACGCAAAUUGUUAAAAUUUUUUAUUAGGGACGGUUUAUUAUAUAGGAGAAAAAUCGACGGAACCGUCGCCAAAUACCUAAUAAAUAAGGAAAUUGGCCAAAUUUUAAAAUGGGUUUAUAUGGAAUGCGGAUAUUAUUUAACGGGGACAAUUUUAUAUUUAUUAAAAGGAAAGUUCUGGUGGCCGAUACGGAAUAAAAACGUCCAAAAAUUUUGUUAAAAAUGCCCUAAUUGUUAAAAAAUUGGGCCAAAACAAUUUAAAUUGGAAUACGGGAAAAUAAUUAUUUUAAAACCUUUACAAUUUGUUGGUAUGGAUUUCGCCGGACCGAUUAGAUUUUUUGCAACAAACGGGAUAUCGAUAAUAUUUGUUACCGUUAAUUAUUUUAUAUAAUUUGUUAUAAUAAAAAUUAUAAAAUAUUUAAUAUUAGCAAUUAACGUUGGGGAUAUUUGGUUGUUUAACUGGUUUCCCUUUUUUGGCUGGUUAACUGCCACUAUUACGGAUAACGGUAACCAUUUCGCGAACGUGAAAUUUAAGAAUUUUCUUGCGAAAAAAGGAAUUAUAAUAAAGUUCGGGCCUAUUAUAUAUCCACAAAUUAUUGGCCUCCCCGAAAAUACUAUAAAAUUCCUAAAAAAACAAUUCCAAUUUUGGGUUUUAAUAAUUCCGAAAAACAAAUGGCCGUUAUAAUAUUGUACUGUCCCUAUUAUAAUUAAUAAAAUUAAUAAUAAAUAUAUUAAAAAAUUAAAUAUUUUACCCUCGAUAAUUAUAAUAAAUAUAUCCCCAUUAAAAAUUCCGGUGGAAUUGGAAAAAAUAAGGGAACGGGGUAUUUAGGAUAAAUUCGAGCUGAUACCGGAUAAAAUUAAAUAAAACAAAGUUAAUAUUAUUUAAAAAUCCCGGAAAAUCCUGGCGGAUAAAUUUGCGGGGCAAUAUAAUACCUGGGAUAACCCGAAACGUUACCCCAAAAUUCCAAUGGGCAUUUUAAUUCUGGAAAAACGUAACAAAUAGGGAAAAAACCCAUCGAAAUUGGAAUUUGUGUAAAAAAGACCGUUUAUUAUAAUUAAAUAAUCCAAAAAUCGAUUAUCGGUAAAAAUUAAAAAAAUUAAUAGGACAGAAUUUACCAGGAAAAUUUAUAUUUACGAUAUUAAAAUAUAGAAAAAAUUUAAUAAUAAAUUGACGGGUUUGCUUUCCGAAUAUAUUAAUAAACUGGAUACCGCUUUGGAAAAUAAUAAUUGGAAUUUGGAAAUAUUUAUUGCCGGCCUGAAAAUUUAACCGGGAAUUCGUUUUUGCCUUUAUUAUUAAAAAAAGUGGGGCACCCCGAAUAUAAAUCCGCGGCGAACAAUCUUUUUCGAUAACCAUUACGAUAUUUCCCACAAUAUUAAUUUUUCACCACCGUUUUUUAUAUCCAACGUAUUUAAUUCCCCAACUACAAUUUUGCUUUUAUUUUAAUUUAUUAUAAAAAUUUUAAAAAAUAAAUAUUUUGAAAAAUUUCGAUAUUUUUAUUACAUUUCGAAUUUGAAUAUUACGUUUGUUUGGUUCCUAACGGAACCAGAUUAUUUUAAAUUUAUUUUAAUUUCUUUUUUCUUUCUUUUUUAUUAUAGCAAUUCCACGUUUUGAAAUUCCCCAAUUGGCCUUUUGCAAACAAUUUUAAUAUUUUGCCGGAAAAUAUUUCAUUUUUCCAUUAGGUUAAUUUUAUUUAACUUUAUUUUUUAUUAUAUUAUUUCACAAAAUUCCCAUUAAAUACCCACCGUUCUUAUAUUUUACUUUAAUUUUACUUUAUUUUGUCCAACAUUUUCAUUUAUUAUAAAUAAUAUGGAUAUUAUAAAAAUUGCGGCCGUUUUUAACGAAAUUAUUAAUAUGGAGACCACGGAAAAUAAUAAUAACCAAAGUUUUUUUUACAAUAAAAUUAACAUUGGAAAACCUAAAAAUUUUAAAAAUCCCAAAAACUUUAAAAAUUCCAAGGAUUUUUCUUUAAAAAAUAAUGGUAACCAAAGUUUUUUUUACAAUAAGAUUAAUACCGGAAACCCUAACAAUUCUAAAAAUCCCAAGAAUUCCGAAAAAUAUAAAAACUUUGAAAUUCGCAAAAAUUCCCCCACAAAUAAUAAUAAUAACCAAAGCUCUUUUUAUAAUAAAAAUAAUAUGGAAAUCCUUAAAAAUUCUAAGGAUCCCGAAAACUCCGGAAACCCUGAAAAUUUUAAAAACCUGGAGGACUUUGGAAAUAAUCCUAUUACCGACAAUAAUAUUUAAAACGACGGAAAUUCCAAUAAUAACGGGAGCAAUAUAAUAAAUACGGUGCCAAUUGUUAAUUUUAUCGCUCCCUAUAACGACCAAAAUAUAAAAAACCCUCGAAUUACCUGGGACGACGUUAACCAAAAUACCAAAAAAUUAUUUCAAUUAUUUUUUCCUAAAAAUUCCAUUUGGGAAAAAUUUAAUUAAAACGCCAUACGUUUCCGAUUAAUUUCCAAUAAAUGGAGCAGGUUAUCCCUAAUCGCCAGGAAAUAAUCCAUUUACAAAUAAUUUAAAUGGGAAUAUUAUUAUCCCGAAAUUCCCCGAUAUUAUAAUUUUAACUGGAAUUUUCGUGGGUUUUUCGGCCAUUUGGGAAACCAUUUUCGAAAUUUUACCUUUGUAAUUCGAAAUAUAUAUACCGUUUUUAUUAAAAAAUAUAUUAAAUAAUUUCAAAUUACCCCGAAUUUUAUAAAGGGAAACGAAAUAAUUUCCGCUUAUAAUAAUAAUUAAAUAAAGGCGAAAUUCCCGAUUAUUACAAUACCUAACCCUGAAAAGAUUUAUUCGGCGUAUAUAAUAAAGGGAAACCGGAAAAAAACGUAUCGAAAUUAGGAUUUUUUCGACGCAUUUCCUUACGAAAAAUAGGAAAUUUGGUUAAACCAAAUUUUUAUUAAUAUAUAAAACGGUUAUAAUAAAUUUUACCGGUUUUUCCCCGAAAAAAAAAAAAAAAAAAUAAUAAUCGUUUGGAAAAAACGAAUAAAAAAAUUAUUCGAUUUAUUACCAAAUUGGGACGAAAUAAUAUUAAAUUGGGAAUUUUUACAAUCCUGGUUUACGCAAAUUACGACCCGGGCCGUAAAUAUAAAUUUUAUAUUGGAUAAUAUAAAGGACGAAAUUAUUCCAAAUAUCGAUUUGUUAAGGAAUUUAAUCGGAUUUUAAAGAAAAUCCAGUUUUUUUGGGGAGCCGGUAACGCCCAAAAAUGCGGUUUUAAUUUUAAAAAACAAAUGGACGCAAUACGUGGACGAUACCCUUUACCAGGGUAUAUUAACGCCAUCCACCUAAUUUUUAUAUUAAUAGCGAUAAUAAUUACGAGGGACGGUUAAAAAAUGGAAAAGGUUUACCAGGUUAAUAUAUAAAAUUUGGCGCACCCUAAUAUUUUUUUGGACAAUAAUUCGCAUUUUUACCGGAAUUGGUCGUUCGGGAAUUAUUUUAAAAAUUAUAUAAUGUUUUUUAAAAAGAUUUUCCAGGGGAAGAGGGAUAACGAAAAAAUUUUUAAAAGUUGGAAUAAUAAAAACACGAACAAUUUCUAAUAUUAUAUCCCAACCGUCUUUAAUAAAUAUGCGAAAUAUAUUACCGGCGAUUUUAAUUAAUUUAUCGAAAAAAAAAGGACCAAACAAUUCGACGUUCGAAAAUCCAAAAAUAUUAAAAUUGGACAAAAAAAACAAAGGGAAUUUAACGAAACCCAAAAGCCAAAAAAAAAACCAAAAUUAAAAAAGAAUAAAAAAAUUAUAAAAACCGUAUUAACGUAAUUAUUAUUAAUACGAAAAAAGUUUUGCGGUAUAUAAUUACCACGAUGGAAAUACACCAAAAUAUUAUAAAGAAUUUCGAAAACGAUAUAAAAGCCGGAUAUUUCUCGAUGGAUAUUGCAAUUAAUUAAAAAACGGAAAAUAUAAAGGGAGAUUUGCAAAUUUUAAUAAAAAAUAUGGAAACCAAAUAUUAGCGUCUAUAUAAAAUUGUUAAAUAUU